rnacentral:rRNA from 1 species
UACGAAGGGGGCUAGUGUUGUUCGGAUUUACUGGGCGUAAAGCGCACGUAGGCGGAUCGUUAAGUCGGGGGUGAAAUCCUGGAGCUCAACUCCAGAACUGCCUUCGAUACUGGCGAUCUUGAGUCCGGAAGAGGUGAGUGGAACUCCUAGUGUAGAGGUGGAAUUCGUAGAUAUUAGGAAGAACACCAGUGGCGAAGGCGGCUCACUGGUCCGGUAUUGACGCGUGAGGCGGCGGAAAAGCUAGGGUA